rnacentral:rRNA from 1 species
GAUUAACGCUGGCGGCGUGCAUAACACAUGCAAGUCGAACGAUGAAACUUAACUGAUUUCUUCGGAAUGAUUUUAAGUGGAUUAGUGGCGGACGGGUGAGUAACGCGUGAGUAACCUGCCUUGGAGAAGGGGAUAGCCUUUGGAAACGAAGAAUAAUACCCUAUGAUAUGAUAAUAUCUCAUGAUAUUAUCAUCAAAGAUUUAUCGCUCUAAGAUGGACUUGCGUCUGAUUAGUUAGUUGGUGAGGUAACAGCUCACCAAGGCAGCGAUCAGUAGCCGGCUUGAGAGAGUGUCCGGCCACAUUGGGACUGAGACACAGCCCAGACUCCUACGGAAGGCAGCAGUGGGGAAUUUUGCACAAUGGGGGAAACCCUGAUGCAGCGACGCCGCGUGAUUUAGAAGGCCUUCGGGUUGUAAAAAUCUUUUGUAUGGGAAGAAAAUGACAGUACCAGACGAAUAAGGACCGGCUAAUUACGUG